rnacentral:sRNA from 1 species
GGGACGGGAAGGCAUCCUAAGCACGCCACAUCCUGUGGCAACGGAUGCAUGACCCGCAUCGUGCGUG